AUCUCUUCAGUUCCAAAUCCAGUUUUCUAACUUUUUUUUUCCACUCCACUUUUCUCAACUAAACUAGAUUUGGCCGUAACUACAGAGGUGUCGAUGAUCGAUCAGUUCAAGUCAUCAUUCCUCUACAACUAACCCCUAUUCUUCACCUUUUAAUCUCUUCUUAGCGGUAAGUUGGGAUCAUUUUGUGCUUGUACUCAGUGGUGGAUCAUCUUUUGCGUUGGCUCUUUCCCCUGGUGGUAUUGCUUCAUAAAAUGUCCGAUAUUUGGGCUCUCUUUAAAUUGGUAGAACAAGCUGAUGGUUCAGUAAAGGCGAUGUGCAAUGUUUGUGGCCAUAAAUAUUCUUAUGAUAGUCACAGAGGUGGCACUUCAACUUUGUCAAGGCAUAAGUGCCCUAGGCGUGAAAUGCAAGAUGUGGGACAAAUGUUAUCCGUAAAUGGAAAAAUGUCUACUAGUGCUCGCAAAAUAGAUCAGAUGAAAUUCCAGGAGCUUGCAAGAAAUCUUCCAUCAAGUUUAGUGGAAUUGCCAGAAUUUAGGGAGUUGUCACUUGUGUGCCUAUCUGAAUGAUGAUGUUAAAAUCCUCCUCACUGAUGAAAGACUGCAAUUCCAAUUCUAUUUAUAGACUUUUUGGAGGUUCAGUUUUCUUUGUUAAAUAGUUGACUUGAAUGCCAGUGAUGGAGGCUGCUGGAGCUAGCUCUUUUGUUAUGCUUAUUGUUGUAAAAGUAAACCAUUGUAUGUGUAUUUGUUUUAGAGUGGUUUCAAGACUUGCAGUUGCAACUUACCAGUAACCAGUAUUUCAAUUUUAGAAACAUAA